GGAGAGGUGCCAGAGCGGCUGAAUGGGCUGGUUUCGAAAACCAGUGUGUGCGCAAGUGCACCGGGGGUUCGAAUCCCCCCCUCUCCGCCA
rnacentral:tRNA from 1 species